AGAGUUUGAUCCUGGCUCAGGAUGAACGCUGGCGGCGUGCCUAAUACAUGCAAGUCGAGCGAACGGACGAGAAGCUUGCUUCUCUGAUGUUAGCGGCGGACGGGUGAGUAACACGUGGAUAACCUACCUAUAAGACUGGGAUAACUUCGGGAAACCGGAGCUAAUACCGGAUAAUAUUUUGAACCGCAUGGUUCAAAAGUGAAAGACGGUCUUGCUGUCACUUAUAGAUGGAUCCGCGCUGCAUUAGCUAGUUGGUAAGGUAACGGCUUACCAAGGCAACGAUGCAUAGCCGACCUGAGAGGGUGAUCGGCCACACUGGAACUGAGACACGGUCCAGACUCCUACGGGAGGCAGCAGUAGGGAAUCUUCCGCAAUGGGCGAAAGCCUGACGGAGCAACGCCGCGUGAGUGAUGAAGGUCUUCGGAUCGUAAAACUCUGUUAUUAGGGAAGAACAUAUGUGUAAGUAACUGUGCACAUCUUGACGGUACCUAAUCAGAAAGCCACGGCUAACUACGUGCCAGCAGCCGCGGUAAUACGUAGGUGGCAAGCGUUAUCCGGAAUUAUUGGGCGUAAAGCGCGCGUAGGCGGUUUUUUAAGUCUGAUGUGAAAGCCCACGGCUCAACCGUGGAGGGUCAUUGGAAACUGGAAAACUUGAGUGCAGAAGAGGAAAGUGGAAUUCCAUGUGUAGCGGUGAAAUGCGCAGAGAUAUGGAGGAACACCAGUGGCGAAGGCGACUUUCUGGUCUGUAACUGACGCUGAUGUGCGAAAGCGUGGGGAUCAAACAGGAUUAGAUACCCUGGUAGUCCACGCCGUAAACGAUGAGUGCUAAGUGUUAGGGGGUUUCCGCCCCUUAGUGCUGCAGCUAACGCAUUAAGCACUCCGCCUGGGGAGUACGAC
rnacentral:rRNA from 19 species